CCUACGGGAGGCAGCAGUGAGGAAUAUUGGUCAAUGGGCGCGAGCCUGAACCAGCCAAGUAGCGUGAAGGAUGACUGCCCUAUGGGUUGUAAACUUCUUUUAUAUAGGAAUAAAGUGAGGCACGUGUGCCUUUUUGUAUGUACUGUAUGAAUAAGGAUCGGCUAACUCCGUGCCAGCAGCCGCGGUAAUACGGAGGAUCCGAGCGUUAUCCGGAUUUAUUGGGUUUAAAGGGAGCGUAGAUGGGUUGUUAAGUCAGUUGUGAAAGUUUGCGGCUCAACCGUAAAAUUGCAGUUGAAACUGGCGUUCUUGAGUGCGCGAGAGGUAUGCGGAAUGCGUGGUGUAGCGGUGAAAUGCAUAGAUAUCACGCAGAACUCCGAUUGCGAAGGCAGCAUACUGGCGCUCAACUGACGCUCAGGCACGAAAGCGUGGGUAUCGAACAGGAUUAGAUACCCCAGUAGUC
rnacentral:rRNA from 1 species